GCUGUUAGAUUGGCAUAAAUAUUGCUGCAUAAAGGACCAGACAUUUGGCGCUUUGGGGAAAAGCACUCGAGCUGCAGCUCCAAUUUAGGUCUGUCAGAUCUACGUUGUAUCAAAUUUUUACGGAGAGCGGUGUUGGGAAUAAGUUUGGAAGUUUACGGUCCGCUAUUUCGCUUUAUCACAAACAAUUUAUAUUUUGAGGAUUUUGAAGAAAUGUCGUUCGCUGUUGGCAGCGAAAGCAAAUAGUUGUCAGAGGAAGAUUACAAAACAGAAUGGAAAUCGGAGUGGGUGCGUUGUCUUUACUUUCUGAAUUACGUGCUAAAGUGGCUAAAUACAGACCCACGCGGUUCGGGUUUAUUAGUUGGUUCACUCUGAAAAAUGAACUCGAGUUUAUUGUACAAAUUGACACUCGACUGUUGGCUGUGGGCGAAAAGCGGCCAAUCUGAGAAAAUUAAAUGAAAUUCGUGCAUAACUGGCAAACUUUUUUUUCUAAAAAGAAAAUAGAUUAUGUGUGUUGUA